GUGCACUGUUCGUAACUUGCUGCCAGUCUGUUUGGCAGUGGGUUCCAUUCCGGUGCUAUAUUAACUCCAAGGAGAACAAGAAUGGCUAAUUAUUUAGUCUGAGUUUGACUUGGAAACAGUC
ensembl:snoRNA